rnacentral:rRNA from 1 species
AACGAACGCUGGCGGCAGGCUUAACACAUGCAAGUCGAGCGCCCCGCAAGGGCAGCGGCAGACGGGUGAGUAACGCGUGGGAACGUACCUUUUGGUUCGGAACAACUCCGGGAAACUGGAGCUAAUACCGGAUAAGCCCUAACGGGGAAAGAUUUAUCGCCGAAAGAUCGGCCCGCGUCUGAUUAGCUAGUUGGUGAGGUAACGGCUCACCAAGGCGACGAUCAGUAGCUGGUCUGAGAGGAUGAUCAGCCACACUGGGACUGAGACACGGCCCAGACUCCUACGGGAGGCAGCAGUGGGGAAUAUUGGACAAUGGGCGCAAGCCUGAUCCAGCCAUGCCGCGUGAGUGAUGAAGGCCUUAGGGUUGUAAAGCUCUUUUGUCCGGGAAGAUAAUGACUGUACCGGAAGAAUAAGCCCCGGCUAACUUCGUG